rnacentral:rRNA from 1 species
GAUGAACGCUGGCGGCAGGCCUAAUACAUGCAAGUCGAACGAGAUUAAGAGGCUUGCUUCUUAUGAAAGUGGCGCACGGGUGCGUAACGCGUAUGCAACCUACCUUAAUCAGGGGGAUAGCCCGAAGAAAUUCGGAUUAAGACCGCAUAAAAACACAGGAUAGCAUUAUCCAAUGUUCAAAUAUUUAUAGGAUUAAGAUGGGCAUGCGUGUCAUUAGCUAGUUGGCGGGGUAACGGCCCACCAAGGCGACGAUGACUAGGGGAUCUGAGAGGAUGACCCCCCACACUGGUACUGAGACACGGACCAGACUCCUACGGGAGGCAGCAGUAAGGAAUAUUGGUCAAUGGAGGGAACUCUGAACCAGCCAUGCCGCGUGCAGGAAGACAGCCCUCUGGGUCGUAAACUGCUUUUAUUCGGGAAUAAACCUUUCUACGUGUAGGAAGCUGAAUGUACCGAAGGAAUAAGGAUCGGCUAACUCCGUG